UUACCCAUUGGUUUUUCCCUUCAACUUCUCAAAAUCAAUACACCCAUUCAAAUUGUAUCCACCGGUCUCAUUUCUUAAGGUUGUACUUCACUUUUCCUUUUUCUCCUUCUCUCUCUGCAUUGAAAAGCCAAAGCCAAGACACCAGGUUCAUCGUCCCGAAAUCAUCAUCGUUGCACCCUGAAAUCAUCAUCACCUCUGUCCCCCAUUUCUCUCUCGUCUCCGUUUCUCCUUCCUCUGCUGCUUUCUCAAAAGGGUUUCCGAAACGCUACGGAAAUAAAGAAGGUGCACAAUUGAAGAGAUGAACCACAUGUUAGAGAUCGAAGAAAUGGAAGGUUGGUUGUUGGAUGAAAGUUUUUGUCAGAGUUCCUCUCCCAGUAUAAGCUCAUAAAACUCAAAUGUUUUUUGUUUGCAAAUUUUGUGCUUCCUACUUUUUAUGUUGUUCUUAAUGACUUCUCUUUGUUCAAGAUUUCAUACAGAAGCCGAAAAGUCAUGUUAAAACUGGAUCUGUGGAUAUCAGAGUCAUGUCCAUAUACACUGCUCAUAUGGACCAAGUCAAAUCCUGUUCACAUUUUAUUUGCUGAUAUGGCUAAGUGUGUAUCUAAGUAAAUUGUUUUUCUAUGAUGCAAAAUAUUCAAAGAAUCUGAAUAAUCUUAAUUUUUAUUUGAAGGAUAAAAGAGUUAUGCAAGCUUUUGGGGUAUUGCUUAAUGUUAAGCUUGGAAGUCCUGCUAUAUAUGGAUUUUCAUGUUCUGUGCUUGUGCUUAAUAUGUUUCAAUUCAAUGACAGGGAGAUAAUAUAUCUGGAAAGACUCCGUAGGGUAAAAGCAUGAAGGCAGAGUUGGUAAACACUGCAAUGGUAAGACUCCUCAAAGCAUAUGUCAAAUAUUGAUUUGUGAUUGACAUUGGAAACACUUCGAAACCAAGUUCUUAAAUUUUGCAAUUUCAAUUGUCAAUUGAUUUUUGUUCUUGUAUGACUCCUUUCUUAAAGUUUUAUUUGAAAUAUUUCCACUUUUCUUUGUGAACAAGAUUGAAAAUAAGUAAAAUUGAUGACAUGUUGGUAUAGGAGAGGAAAUAUUUCUACUUUUCUUUUUGAACUCCUUUCUUAAGAUUUUAUUUGUGUGUGGUGUACAAAUCUCUCUCCUUCUGCAACUUGAAUUAUUUUUGUAAAGAGGAAAUUUAAGUUCAUUUAGCCGACCACACUUCGUUGGAAAAUGCUUGGUCGUUGUUGUUUGGGAAUUUAAUUACAUUUCAGCAUCUGCUCACAAGUAUAUUAGCAUUAUUCAUGCAUUGGAACUCCUAAUCCAUUUUGAUGUGACCAUGAUUUAUAAUGUAAUCUUGCCAUUUAACCUACACUGGGGUCCAGAUCAUUAAAACUUUGGAUGGUGUUACAACUCUAUGGAUUGGAAGGUCUGCAAACUCACAUAAGAAGCCAUAUUUCAAUCUGGUAUUGAGUCGUUCUCUACAUUAUUUGUUUCAAAGUCAAAACAUGCAUUUUCAAAUGAUUCAUGUCUUAACUACUUACUGUAUUUGAUUCUCUGUGUGUGUCAUGAAACAUUUGCAACAAAUUUAUAUACACAGGUCAUUGCGCCUCGAACAUUCUCUUUAGUUUGUUUUCAGCUAUUGCCUCCCCUGAACUUUGAUGAUAAUGGCAAUAAACUGAACCAUGAUCUACUCGACUUAGUAAACUCAACAGGAAGUGUGUUCAUAACACACGGCUCUAUCAGGUGAGUACGUUCUACGUUUUGCAGUAGGAGCACCGUUGACAGAAGCGAGGCAUGUCAAAGCUGCGUGGCAGAUUUUGCAAGAAAAAGCUUCUGAUCUAUUAUAGAGUUUAUAGGAUGAAUUUUCUCUUGAGACAUCCACCAUUUCUUUUCGAGACAUCAUCGUUUCAUAUACCUGCAUCAAUUAUAUAUACUGAUUCAUCAUUGCCAAUGAUCAAUAAAGUGAAUAAACAUACUCCAACAAGUUUGUAAAUAUUCAUUUGUGACCUCUAAUAUUUUUUUGUGCCAAUAUGCAUGCCUUCUCUUUGGAUUUUAACAUGUGAUUUUGUUCUUUCUCGCAUGAAACAUUAUCGUGGUUAACUUAAUUUCAGUUAUUUAUAGGGAUAUUUCCCAGACAUUAUGACCCUCCCGAUGGUUUCACGUUCGAGGUACAUGAUGUCUCCUCUCUUAUUCAGGUCAUGUUGAUCAUACACUACCUUAUGGAUAGCAGAGUUUGGCUACCUGGG